rnacentral:rRNA from 2 species
GGAUGCGAUCAUACCAGCACUAAAGCAUCGGAUCCCAUCAAAACUCCGAAGUUAAGCGUGCUUGGGCGAGAGUAGUACUAGGAUGGGUGACCUCCUGGGAAGUCCUCGUGUUGCAUUCC